CCCUUAGACGUUCUGGGCCGCACGCGCGCUACACUGACGGAGCCAGCGAGUAUAAACCUUGGCCGAGAGGUCUGGGAAAUCUUGUGAAACUCCGUCGUGCUGGGGAUAGGGCAUUGUAAUUAUUGCUCUUCAACGAGGAAUUCCUAGUAAGCGCAAGUCAUCAGCUUGCGUUGAUUACGUCCCUGCCCUUUGUACACACCGCCCGUCGCUACUACCGAUUGAAUGGCUUAGUGAGGCUUCCGGAUUGGUUUAGAGAAGGGGGCAACUCCAUCUUGGAACCGAGAAGCUAGUCAAACUUGGUCAUUUAGAGGAAGUAAAAGUCGUAACA
rnacentral:rRNA from 1 species